AUGACUCUUGUUGUGCAAUUUUUGAUGGUCAGUUUUAUAAAACAAGACAUUCCUUAACUUGUUACGGAUUAUAUUAAAUAGCUUUAUGAAAUCUAUAAAAACUGCAUUUUGCGAAGAAAAUCUUGCAUACUUGCUCAAAUAUUUUCAUUCUUAAAAUUUGAUAUAACUACAUUGUAGUAAUUUUUGGCAUUUUGUUAUUUUUUUUAUUUUUUUUUCCUGAAAAAUGUAUUAUAAAAUGAGAACUUUAUAAAAUCACUGUUAUUAAAUACUGGUUAAUUUUAUCCACAUUGUAUUUGGGAUACAUAAAGUUGUUUCAAUAAAAAUGUUUUUAU
rnacentral:misc_RNA from 1 species